rnacentral:lncRNA from 1 species
CUGCCUUAAUGUUGGAGGUGUUUUGUAUCAAGAUGGAGGAGCUUAGCUGGGCAAGGUGAGUGUUUAAUGAUAAGGGGAAGAAGAUAGGAUGAAAAUGAAGAUGAAAGCCACCAAACUUGAGUUGAAUGAAUCCUGCAAAUCAAAGCCAAAGCUAACAUUAGAGGCCAAGCCAGCGGUGGCUGGCAACCACAUUUCGACACUCAAGUUAGAUUUUGAGUGAUAGGUAGCGGAUUUAAAGUCAAAUGGAUCCUUAAAAGUAGGGAUGGCAAAAUCUGGGUCCGGGUCCGGGUUUAGUCUUUUCGGUUCCGGACCCGGAUGAUCAAUUUUAAUUACCGGACCCGCAUAUAACCCGGAUUUUUUAACUCCGGGUCCGGUCCGGGUUUCCGGAAUGCGGGUUUUAAACCCGGAUAUAUGCCUAAAAUUAAAAAAAAAAUUCAAGCAUGCCAAUUUCGACUCUUUGGUAGUUGCAAAAACAAAUAGAACUCAUGGGAUCUUGCGAAGAUAGUGGAGGAUGAGGAAGAUGGGAAAAUUAAAGAAACAAAGAAAGCCACAUGAUUCCACAAAAAGCACAUGAUUCCACAAAAAGCCACAUAAUUCCUUGAGCCCAAAUCUCAGAAUAAAUCUAAUUUUAACACAUAAGGUAGAAAUUGAAACUUGCAGAGAAGUGCGGCCACCGUCGCGAUGUUGUGAUGCUGAUGAUUGAUGGAUGAUGAUGAACCGACUACUGAGAGAGAGAAAUCUCCGAACCAGACCCAAGACCUCUUCUUCACCGGGAUAUGAGCUAAACUUCAACGACAGGACUUGGGCUAAUAAAAAAACUCAUUUGAUUUCGAGAAGGUCAAAGACAUGAGAAGAAUAAGCAAUCAAAGAGGUACGGUCAAAUCAAUGCUUUCAAUCAGCUUUAACCAAUUCUUUAAUUGCUCAGUCGAAAGAAUCGGGGCCACGUUGAUUUUGAAUUUAUUUGCUGAAUUAUGGGGAAUGAACAUGAGGAAGCGGCGGCCGUAGGAAAUAUAGGGUUUGUUUUGUUUCUCAUUUUUUUUUCUUUUAUACUUAUAAAUAAUAAUUUAAAAAAUUAAUUAAAUAAUAUUUAAAACAAAAAAUCCGGGUCCGGGUUUCGGAAAUCCGAGUUCAGGUGAACUCAGAACCGGACCGGGAUAAGUCCGGGUUUAAGAAAAUUAAAACCGGAUCCGGAUAAAAUAUACAUCCGGUGCGGGUUCAACCCAAUCCGGAUCAUCCGGGUUUAACCCGGUCCGAAUCAUCCGGGUUCGUGCGGGUCCGGUCCGGAUCCGGAUUAUCUUGCCAUCCCUACUUAAAACUCUUAAAAAUAAUGAACAUGCUAUGAGGAAGAAGAUGAGAGAGUAAUUUUUGAGUGAUGAAAAUUAGUUAC